rnacentral:lncRNA from 1 species
AGUGAACAGAAUUACAUAGCUAGCCAAUGGUCAUAUUUUUAUUCUUUCGUUGGUCCAAGUCAAACAGUGUAAAAGUCUGUAAAGAAAAAAACACAUUGGUGGCAACACUGCUCUUCUCGACAAGCUCUCACAGCUCUACAGUCGCUUCCAACUGUAACAGCGUAAAUUCCAGCACACCAGACUUUUCAAGGCCUGUGCGAAUGCAUUGAGAAAGAGGUCUCUGGAAACACCUGCAGUAACGAAGUAAUUUAAGACUUUCGUGCGCUACCGUUUAUGAGAAGCACAGCGAGCUCCAUGAGCAGCAAAGGACCCCCUACAAACAAAGACAUUGAGAAGAUGGAAACAAAAACUAAGAGAGAAAUACCUGUGAGAGUGAGCUCAUGCGAGACAAGCACCACAAUCCUUCCACGCAUAAAAUGUAGGCCAUGGGAAGGAGUAUCGCGCCGCUCCCUCACUCACCAAAAGAAGCCCUAGAAAUCCAAAUGCCGCGACCCCCGAGCUUGAGAAGCGAUCGCAAUCCCACCUUGCGCUUGAUCGCUCCUAUUCCCGUCUAAAGAACAAAGAAAAAGAUCUGCAAUCCUGACCGUUCAAACUCAGCGUUGGCGAUUAUGCCAAGUGGCAACCGAUUUUAACAAAUGCAAACCUUAAUUGAGUCUUUUCAAAUGGUGGGCGCGAAUUGUAAUGAAAGACUUUGGCCUGGAGCCGCGCGGUCUUUGUAUCUAUCCACACACUCUCGACGCUAUAUAAACACCACAUCUCUUACAAUCCCCCACAC